GACGAACGCUGGCGGCGUGCUUAACACAUGCAAGUCGAACGGAAAGGCCCUGCUUUUGUGGGGUGCUCGAGUGGCGAACGGGUGAGUAACACGUGAGUAACCUGCCCUUGACUUUGGGAUAACUUCAGGAAACUGGGGCUAAUACCGGAUAGGAGCUCCUGCUGCAUGGUGGGGGUUGGAAAGUUUCGGCGGUUGGGGAUGGACUCGCGGCUUAUCAGCUUGUUGGUGGGGUAGUGGCUUACCAAGGCUUUGACGGGUAGCCGGCCUGAGAGGGUGACCGGCAACAUUGGGACUGAGAUACGGCCCAGACUCCUACGGGAGGCAGCGGUGGGGAAUAUUGAACAAUGGCCGGAAGCCUGAUGCAGCAACGCCGCGUGCGGGAUGACGGCCUUCGGGUGGUAAACCGCUUUCGCCUGUGACGAAGCGUGAGUGAGGGUAAUGGGUAAAGAAGCACCGGCUAACUACGU
rnacentral:rRNA from 1 species